GACGAACGCUGGCGGCGUGCUUAACACAUGCAAGUCGAACGGAAAGGCCCUGCUUUUGUGGGGUGCUCGAGUGGCGAACGGGUGAGUAACACGUGAGUAACCUGCCCUUGACUUUGGGAUAACUUCAGGAAACUGGGGCUAAUACCGGAUAGGAGCUCCUGCUGCAUGGUGGGGGUUGGAAAGUUUCGGCGGUUGGGGAUGGACUCGCGGCUUAUCAGCUUGUUGGUGGGGUAGUGGCUUACCAAGGCUUUGACGGGUAGCCGGCCUGAGAGGGUGACCGGCCACAUUGGGACUGAGAUACGGCCCAGACUCCUACGGGAGGCAGCAGUUGGGAAUAUUGCACAAUGGGCGGAAGCCUGAUGCAGCAACGCCGCGUGCGGGAUGACGGCCUUCGGGUUGUAAACCGCUUUCGCCUGUGACGAAGCGUGAGUGACGGUAAUGGGUAAAGAAGCACCGGCUAACUACGUG
rnacentral:rRNA from 1 species